AGGGACUUAGGAUCUAACAUCAAACCGAUGGCCUUCAAAGCCCUAAAUAAGAGCAACACUCUUAGUCCCUG
rnacentral:tRNA from 1 species